rnacentral:rRNA from 1 species
AAUGAACGCUGGCGGCAUGCCUAACACAUGCAAGUCGAACGAGACCUUCGGGUCUAGUGGCGCACGGGUGCGUAACGCGUGGGAAUCUGCCCUUGGGUUCGGAAUAACUCAGAGAAAUUUGAGCUAAUACCGGAUAAUGACGUAAGCCCAAAGAUUUAUCGCCCAGGGAUGAGCCCGCGUAGGAUUAGCUAGUUGGUGGGGUAAAAGCCUACCAAGGCGACGAUCCUUAGCUGGUCUGAGAGGAUGAUCAGCCACACUGGGACUGAGACACGACCCAG